CUCAGGGCUCUUUGCAAGGGUACUAGAGGUGAAAUUGCAAGAAGUCAGCAACUGCAGUUGCCGCCGUUCUGUCUUCAGCUUCACGAUGUUUCCCUUGGCCAAAAACGCACUAAGUCGUCUCGGAGUGAAGAGGUCUAAAGAAAUCCACUUGGGUGACCUGAGUGUUGAGGUCAUGAGGUGUUCCAGAAUUGCUUGCUUGUUCGAAGCAUUCCGCAAACAAUGUCAAGGCAGAGCCACCAGAAGCGGACACCUGAUUUCCAUGACAAAUAUGGUAAUGCUGUAUUAGCUAGUGGAGCCACUUUCUGUGUUGCUGUAUGGGCAUAUCAACACAAAUUGGAAUAGAAUGGAACCUGUCCCCUGUUGGCAGAGUCACCCCAAAGGAAUGGAGAGAACAGUGAUCAUCCCAGCUGGUUUAAUACUGAAUUGUUUCAAAAUCAACUCAUAAUUGAUGCCAAGUAAAAGCAUUAAAAUAUGGCGUGAUUGAAGAAAUAAAGUACAUUUGAAAACUUCAUUAUA